UACGGAGGUGGCAGGCGUUACUCGGAUUGAUUGGGUGUAAAGGGCGUGUAGGUGGUGAAUUAAGUCGAAUGUGAAAUCCCUUGGCUUAACCAAGGAACUGCAUUUGAAACUAAUUUGCUUGAGUGACAGAGAGGCAAGUGGAAUUCCCGGUGUAACAGUGAAAUGUGUAGAUAUCGGGAGGAACACCAGUGGCGAAGGCGACUUGCUGGCUGUCUACUGACACUGAAACGCGAGAGCUAGGGGAGCAAACAGG
rnacentral:rRNA from 1 species